rnacentral:rRNA from 1 species
UACGUAGGGGGCGAGCGUUGUCCGGAUUCAUUGGGCGUAAAGAGCUCGUAGGCGGUCUGUCGCGUCGGUCGUGAAAACUUGGGGCUUAACCCUGAGCUUGCGGUCGAUACGGGCAUGACUGGAGUUCGGCAGGGGAGACUGGAAUUCCUGGUGUAGCGGUGAAAUGCGCAGAUAUCAGGAGGAACACCAGUGGCGAAGGCGGCUCACUGGCCCGAUACUGACGCUGAGGCACGAAAGCGUGGGGAGCAAACAGG